GAUGAACGCUGGCGGCGUGCCUAAUACAUGCAAGUCGAACGGACAGACGAUGAGCUUGUUCCGUUCACGUUUGCGGCAGGCGGGUGAGUAACGCGUGGAUCACCUACUUGUCUUUCUGGGAUCAUUUCGAAAAACCGGCUCUAAUACCAGAGAAUAUACUGAACCGCAGGGUGCAAUGGUGAAUUACGGCUUUUCUGUCUGUUAUAGCGGGUUCCGCGCUGCAUUGGCUAGUUGGUAAGGUCACAGCCUACCAAGGCUACGAUGCGUAGCCGAGCUGAGAGGGUGAUCGGCCACAUGGGAACUGAGACACGGUCCAGACUCCUACGGGAGGCAGCAGUCGGGAACGUGCGGCAAUGGGCGAAAGCAUGACGCAGCAAGCCCGCGUGAGUGAUGAAGGCCUCCGGAUCGUAAAGACCUGUUAUUGGGGAAGAACAGCUGUGGACGUAAACAAGGCGGUCUUGACGGUACCUAAUAAAAAAGCACCGGCUAACUACGUG
rnacentral:rRNA from 1 species